UACAGAGGUCUCAAGCGUUGUUCGGAUUCAUUGGGCGUAAAGGGUGCGUAGGCGGCGCGGUAAGUCGGGUGUGAAAUCUUGGAGCUUAACUCCGAAACUGCAUUCGAUACUGCCGUGCUUGAGGACUGGAGAGGAGACUGGAAUUUACGGUGUAGCGGUGAAAUGCGUAGAUAUCGUGAGGAAGACCAGUGGCGAAGGCGGGUCUCUGGACAGUCCCUGACGCUGAGGCGCGAAGGCCAGGGGAGCAAACGGG
rnacentral:rRNA from 1 species